AAAAGGCAUGAAAAAUCAACUAUAUAGGCUGGGUAGUGCCAAGCGAGCGAGUGAGCGCACGGUACCGUGUUUUACGAGUAUUCAAAUUAGAAUCACGCGCUCUUUACUUAUAACUUUAUAAGUAUUAUAACUGAACGUUCGUUUCAGUGUUUGUAAUCUAGUCUAGCCUGAAAAGGGCACAAUCGGCGUCCCGCGCUGUCUGUUUGCGGGAUGCAGACUCUAGGGCUCUAGAAACGGGACGUCCCGCAUAUAACGGGACUGUUGGCAACCCUAUACACAAGCCUAUUAACACUAUAAAGAAAAGCCGCUUUACUUAUGUUUAAUCAAACGUGGUAAGUAUCUACUUAAUUUAUUGCAUCAAGGCUUAUUUUGCAAAACUACGAUGAAGCAGUAAAACACAAAGGGCAUGCGUACACGCCUCCUUUGAAAAAGCUGUCAAUUUAAAUUUGAACUUGUUCUUAAAAGAAAUCAAAACAGUUACCACCACGGGCGGCAGCUUAUUAAUAGCGAUGCGACACUACGUCGAUAUAAUCUUUAAUCAUUUGUUUUAAGGUUGAUUUCACAUUGUCACAAAAGUUAUAGCAUAGAAAGAGAGAAAGAAAAUACAUUUAUUUAACAUCAUAAUUUGGCUACAAAAUUAUAAAAUAAAAUAAACACAAACUAGAUACUAUACGGGAUCUCACAAGCAUAUUGCCAUGGCAAGGCAUGGCGCUGAUUGAUAGAGAUGGUAGAGUACAGGAGCCGCCUGCGGGCCUCGCGGCGUGCCUUUGCUAUCCUGCCGUGCUUGGCGUCGGCCAUAAAGCCUAUCAGAGUGCCUACCGCGAAUACCGAUAUUCGCAAAUUGCGGGCAUCUUUCUCUUUUAAUCCAAUUAAGGAGUCAUUAGAGGUGCCCGGAAUAAGCUAAUAUCAGUAUUCGUGAUCAUCAUAGCCCAUCAGAGCCGUAGCUAGAAUAUAAUUCAGUUGAUAUAUAUAUAUAUUAUUCCCUGGUCCCCACACAAGAAAUCACAGAUUAUUUUUCCAUUUGUUCAUUUUGAAUCUUAUUUCAAUUACCAUAGGAGUUGUAAUUAAAUAACCGGCUAAAGUUACCCGGCCCUUUUUUUGCAGGUAGUGGCACGCGCGGUUUUAGUUAACAAUUGUCAAAGGAUAAUUGAGGAGAGGAGUAUCUCAAACAAACUGAUUUUUCACCCUGAGAAGUGCUCUGUGAUGUCUUUUAGCCGAUCUCGUAGUCCGCUAGUUGGUAAUUACAUGUUAGGAACGAAAUUAAUUAACCGCGUUGACACUAUUAAAGACCUAGGUGUCAUAUUUGACCCGCAUCUUAACUUUCAUGCUCAUAUGAGAACCCUAGCUACCGAAUGCUAUCGGAGAUUGGGAUUUGUCAUCCGUAACGUUCGUGAUUUUGACAACGCGAUUGUUAUCAAGAUUGUUUAUACCUCUCUAGUUAGGAGUAAACUGGAGGCAGCGUCUGUGGUGUGGAACCCCCAUGAGGUCACUUACGCUUUGCUUCUGGAGAAAAUCCAAAAGACUUUUCUAAGAUUUUUAUUUAAAAAAGUCUAUGGGUAUUAUCCUUUCCUUUACCCGACAAAAUAUUUACUUGGAACUCUGGGUUUUUAACUCUUUAGAAGUGAGGCGUAAUUAUGCACUUAUGAUCGGCGCGUGCAGAAUAUUACGUGGAGAUUCAGACUGCCCUCAGCUGGUCUCACAGUUAGUACGCCUCCUCAUCCCUUCUCUGUCCGUCGCAAAGUUCAAUUUUAGGCCUCGUAAUCGCGACUUACUUGCGGCUCCUAAAGCGCGCACGAAGGCGUACAGGCAAUCACCACUGGUUCGUGCUUUGCACUACAUCAACGCACUUCUCCAGUCGGCUCCAGACUGCGAUCUUUUUGCCAGUAGUUGGAGGCAAAUUUGUGAGCAAUGCAAAAACCAUUGUGAGGCAAUGGAUGACCGUCCGUCCUCAGUUAGUUAUUAAGGUGGUUCGUUUUUCAUACUAAUGUAUUUAUCCAAUUAUGGGCGAAUGGAGCAUGGUUUUACAAUGAAACCACUUCCAUUAAUAUUCAAUUUGAUAUUUGUUUGCGGGAAAUUAUGUUUUUGUAAUAAAAAUAUUUGAAUAAUAGCUUAACUGAGAACGAUAUUUUAGUUAAAAUUUGUCAAUGUGUGAGUGAACGGUGACAGCGUCGUACACUAAGCGUAUGUUCAGUGUGUGCGUUGAAAGGCUACGUUGCGAGCUGGCCGAAAAUGCGACGAUGCCGCUCUUCACUCCGCACGGCUCAAGCGCGCAACGAGGCGUUUGUGUCAAUUGAUAAAUUUCUAUUAAAUUUCAUUUUACCAAACGUCACUGUCAUUUUGAUUGACCGGCACGCGGCACCGGCACUUUGGCAAAGAGCAUAUAAUCACUACCUACGUUCUUGGCAGUUUGGCGGCAGUCUUGUUGUUUCUUGUUUCGCUAUUUUGAUUCUAAUAGUGAACUUUAUCGAGAGAAUGCCACAAACAUCCCGAAAAGAUUAUAAAAACCAUCAAUACUCAGGCCCGAGAAAGAGUCGGAAACGCAGCCAUGGGCAAAUGAAACGAUAUCACGGAGAAAUCAAAAGAUCCAGGACCAACUGCGGCCACUGCGGGUGACACAAAUGAUGAAAUGUCACUUCAUUUGUUACAUUUCCCCAAGUUAUGGCAUUACAGUUUUGGAAGUAGAGCAUGAUGAAACUUUUAUAGAAAAGAUGUUGCCAAAACUGGUAAACUUUUAUAAAAAUUGUAUAUUGCCCGAGAUGGUACUGCGAAGAACAAGGAAAAAUCUAAAAUGUAUAGAUGUUUCUUUGUGGUAGUAAAUGUAAAUAAAAAAACUGACUAUUUUUUACCUUUUUAUGACUUUCAUAAGUGCAUUGUCAUAUUGAAAAAUAAACUAUCUUUAUCUGAA